CUUUUCAUGGUCAAUCAUCUAAUGAGUGUGAAAUGGAACCGUUUGUAGGAAAAUGAAUGCAAGACUAUAUUCUCUAAGUUCACUCAUGAAAAUCAUGAAAAGUUCAGGGCCACAAUAAACACAAUAGAGAACUAAGUUCUACGAGAAAAUGAAGAUGCGUUAUGCAUGUUGUCUCGGUCUACAUAAAAUACCAGUUUGUUAAAGACAUCAUGUUCACCUUCUCGUAAAGUAAACCCGACAUAUAAUAACUAUGAGUGGUUCAAGGCUUAAAAAUGUCAC
rnacentral:lncRNA from 1 species